GAAAUGCGAUACGUGAUGUGAAUUGCAUACUCGUGAAUCAUCGAAUCUUUGAACGCAAAUGGCGCUCGGCCGCUUCGGUGUGCCGAGCAUGUCUGUUUGAGGGUCAGUUUCACCUGCUUCUCUUCCCGUUCCCCCAAUUUGUUUUGGGGGAGAAAGGAAAGAGAGACGAUGGGAUCUCACCGGGACGGAAACGGCCCUUCGGUGACUUCCUGAAACGCAUCAUUCUUUUUUUUCCAAAAAAGACGAAAGAAAAAAGACGAGUUCCGAGGUCCCGACCCUUUUUCGACGGGACCGAUCACAGCAAUGUGACCGGGCAAACCUUUUCUUCUAUCCAAAAAUUAUUAAAAUGACCUCAAAUCAGGCAAGAGCACCCGCUGAACUUAA
rnacentral:misc_RNA from 1 species